rnacentral:rRNA from 1 species
AUGGCGAGAUCUGGCGGCAAGCGAGGCGUGAUGGAGCACCACUGCCUGAACCGAUUCCGCCGCCGGCGACUCCUCGCCUUCCUCCGCCGCAACAGCCUUCCCGCCACCUUCGACGCGCUGAAGCACGAGACGAGCGUCUUCUUGGACGUGCGGUUCCUGCGGCGCCUGGUGGCGGGCGGCCGGUGGCAGGAGGCGCGAGAGUACUUGAGCCGCUUCCUGCCGUGCCAGGACGAGGUCGACGCGCCCACCGCGCUCAGAUUCCUCACUCGCCUCAACGUUCUCGACGACCUCGCCCAGGGCAAGCUGGAGGGCAUCGAUUUGGCCCAAGAUCUCCGGAACCAAAUCGACGUUAUCCCUUCCACCAUUUUCCGCGAGGACCCGCACUACGCCGCGGCUCUCCGCACAGUCUUGUUCUGGCGCUCUCACCCGACAUACUGGGGUCCCGUGGACUGGCAGCUCAUUAGGCGCAAAGCCGCGCAGGUUGUCAAGGACUUGGUCGCACGAACCCCUGAGUUCAGGCAUCUGCUGCGGUUGCCGCCGUGUCCAAGCCACCCAUGUUACACCAUCCCCUUCGGGUUUGGGGGUUGCCGGAGGCAUAAGAGGAAGAAGAACAUAGGCCGGAUGUCGGCAUCUCUUCUUGCCCGCCGUUUUCUUCAGAAAGAGAGGCGUCAUUCCUCACCAUGGACUCAAGGUUCAUCGUGUGAACCUAUGGGUUUCGAGGAAAUUAUUGAUGAAACUAUGUUAGCUGGGAAGCUGGAGGUCAUAGAACAUUCAGAUUCUUGUAGUGAAGGCGAUCCUGGUUCUCCUGUUGGGUUAUCUAUAGGUAAAAGUUUUGGAACUGCACCUGCUAAUGCAGUCACAAAGCGUUUGAGUCAAGAAUGUUCCGCUGAAAGUUCCAAUGGUGCAAAACUAAAACCUACAACUGGGCAGUUUUGUCCGGAUGUCGUCGAUGCACGUUCUGGUUGGACGGUGGACGCCAAUCAUGUUUUAAAUAAAAUAGAAACCCUCGGAGACAUUUCAACUGCCAUGGCCAUGCUAGUGAACAAGACAUGCACAUAUGGUGGUCCAGAUCACACGAUGUUCCUGGAGAAAACAUUUGAGCACGAGAAGAUGAUAUUCGAACUGCGAUUAGAUUGCCAAAAGGCAAAAACUAAGAGGUUGAACUUAUCCAUUGGCAACUUGAGCACCCGACAGAACUAG